GAUGAACGCUGGCGGCGUGCCUAAUACAUGCAAGUCGAGCGAACAGACGAGGAGCUUGCUCCUCUGACGUUAGCGGCGGACGGGUGAGUAACAUGUGGAUAACCUACCUAUAAGACUGGGAUAACUUCGGGAAACCGGAGCUAAUACCGGAUAAUAUAUUGAACCGCAUGGUUCAAUAGUGAAAGACGGUUUUGCUGUCACUUAUAGAUGGAUCCGCGCCGCAUUAGCUAGUUGGUAAGGUAACGGCUUACCAAGGCGACGAUGCGUAGCCGACCUGAGAGGGUGAUCGGCCACACUGGAACUGAGACACGGUCCAGACUCCUACGGGAGGCAGCAGUAGGGAAUCUUCCGCAAGGGGCGAAAGCCUGACGGAGCAACGCCGCGUGAGUGAUGAAGGUCUUCGGAUCGUAAAACUCUGUUAUUAGGGAAGAACAAAUGUGUAAGUAACUAUGCACGUCGUGACGGUACCUAAUCAGAAAGCCACGGCUAACUACG
rnacentral:rRNA from 1 species